UCUGCUUGCCCUGAAGGUUGAGUAUCCAAACAAUGUGCAUUUAAUACGUGGGAACCAUGAAGCAGCAGAUAUUAAUGCCCUUUUUUGGUUUCCGGAUUGAGUGCAUUGAAAGGAUGGGUGAGAGAGAUGGAAUUUGGGCAUGGCAUCGUAUAAACCGGUUGUUUAAUUGGCUUCCUCUAGCUGCUCUGAUUGAGAAAAAA